rnacentral:tRNA from 1 species
AAGUUCCGAGGUGUUUUCACGCCGGAUUGCAAACCCGGAGAAGCAGGUUAGACGCCUGCCGGGACUUUCC